CAGCCGCCGCGGUAAUACGUAGGGUGCAAGCGUUAAUCGGAAUUACUGGGCGUAAAGCGUGCGCAGGCGGUUCGUUAAGACAGAUGUGAAAUCCCCGGGCUUAACCUGGGAACUGCAUUUGUGACUGGCGGGCUAGAGGAUGGCAGAGGGGGGUAGAAUUCCACGUGUAGCAGUGAAAUGCGUAGAGAUGUGGAGGAAUACCGAUGGCGAAGGCAGCCCCCUGGGCCAAUACUGACGCUCAUGCACGAAAGCGUGGGGAGCAAACAGGAUUAGAUACCCCGGUAGUCCCUGUCUCUUAUAC
rnacentral:rRNA from 1 species